rnacentral:lncRNA from 1 species
AAACGUCAUUUUUGAUUGUUUAGUUUGUCACACUGUUUUCUUCUCACAUUAUUAUAUCAAGGUGCAAUUGUUUAACCUACCUGUGUUGUUUUGAAGGUGGCAUGUCAAAGCUACAAGUCAAUCCAGAUGAUCUUCAUAGUCUUGAAGAGGUGAGCUCCUUGGGUUUAAUGAUUUUCAUUGUUCUUUCCCAUUAGCUUUACAUGAUUUGUCAUCUCAGGCAGUUUGUAAAAAGUAACCAUGGACCGGCAGAUUUAUAGCAGUAACCUGAUGGAACGAAAUUGGUUGAUUCCAUAAUUUUGCAUGUAUUUAUAUUUUUUUCCAUUUGUUUCCUUAUUUGUCCCUAGGAUGAAGUGCUCUUCUGGGAGGAGCUCAUAGAGAAGUACCUAAAGCCACUGUCUGAAGACAAAGCCAAGCAAGCCCAAAUUAAAAAAGACCUCAAAAGCCUCAGAAACAAGGUCACUUUCGCUUUCUUCAUCAUCAAUUGUUUGUGGCUGGUGGCCACAUUCUUCCUCCAGGCUAUUGGCUCUCCAGUUAUUAUCAGCACUCCAAAGAUUUUAUCAAAUGGAUCAAUAGCAAAAGGCCAGAACAUUUCUAUAGAUCCAAUUGGGUUUAUGUUCCUGUUGUCCUUUGCUGGCCUGCUGCUCAUUCAGUUUAUUGCUAUGGGAUACCACAGAAUCUACACACUUAUACACUUCAUAGCCUAUAUAGGAACAGAACCUAAAGAAUCAAAAAGAAACUUGUCCCAGACGUCCCUGGAAAACGUGAAGGAUACUGAAAGGUAAAGAAUUUUCUGACUUUUUCUGUCCGGUUUGCAGUGUUUUACACCUCCAGAUCAAGAAGAAAUCAGAAGAUGUUGAAAUUAGAAGUAUUAAAUCUGAGCAAAUCAUGUUUAAACACCAUCUUCCAAAACCAGAUUUAUUUAAACAAAAUGGUUAAUUGAAAGACUGGUUUGUUUGUUUGAACAGUUGCUAUGAAAGCAUUGACUGGGACAGUGUUUACUGCAGGUUUGGCCAAAGGCAGAAGCACAUUUUCUGCGCAGUUCCACAAGAUUUAAAAGAGAAAUGUGUAUGUCAGUGAAAAGUGUAUCAUUGCAGCAUCAUUGAUAUCGCUUAUUUUCAGAGAAAAAGAUGAAUGUGAACCUCAUAUUUCUCCUGCAGUAUUUUUUGUAAAUGGCUGGGUUCAAGAUCUCUUCAAGACUCCAAGAACUGCGUGAGAACCUGAUGGCAGCUCUGACAGUUCAGCUCUGUUUAACUGAGAGUCCAACAUCAUGUCAAUCAGCUGCACCUCCUUAAAUCUCUUUCUGUUGAAGCACAAAACACCUGAAAAGAAUCAACUGCCCUGCAGGCUGCAUUAGACAAGUAACUUCCUUGUUUGACCAGUAGUCAAAAUGAAGCUGAA